AGUGAGCUCCCUCUAGUGGUGGCUGUAUAAUCUGUAUGUAGUGAGCUCCCCCUAGUGAUGGCUGUAUAAUCUGUUGUAGUGAGCUCCCUCUAGUGGUGCCUGUAUAAUCUGUAUAUAGUGAGCGCCCUCUAGUAGUGACUGUAUAUUCUGUUUGUAUUGAGCGCCCUCACGUGGAGGCUGUAAAUCUGU